UCCAUCUCUGCAAAAUCAAAGCUUACCUUGAUCAAACUGUUUCUGAAGGUUAUCUUGGUCUGUCUUGUUUCCACUGACACGGUAAACUCCCUCAGUCGUUAGACCUGCA